rnacentral:rRNA from 1 species
UAGGGAAUCUUCCGCAAUGCGCGAAAGCUUGACGGAGCAACGCCGCUUGAGUGAUGAAGGUCUUCUGAUCGUAAAACUCUGUUAUUAGGGAAGAACAAAUGUGUAAGUAACUAUGCACGUCUUGACGGUACCUAAUCAGAAAGCCACGGCUAACUACGUGCCAGCAGCCGCGGUAAUACGUAGGUGGCAAGCGUUAUCCGGAAUUAUUGGGCGUAAAGCGCGCGUAGGCGGUUUUUUAAGUCUGAUGUGAAAGCCCACGGCUCAACCGUGGAGGGUCAUUGGAAACUGGAAAACUUGAGUGCAGAAGAGGAAAGUGGAAUUCCAUGUGUAGCGGUGAAAUGCGCAGAGAUAUGGAGGAACACCAGUGGCGAAGGCGACUUUAUGGUCUGUAACUGACGCUGAUGUGCGAAAGCGUGGGGAUCAAACAGG